rnacentral:lncRNA from 1 species
GGUUAGAAAGCGUUGAGGGUUAGUAGAGUUGAGGGUUUAGGUAGGGUUUGGGGUUAGGUAGGGUUUAGGGUUAGAUAGGGUUUAGGGUUAGGUAGGGUUUAGGGUUAGGUAGGGUUUAGGGUUAGAAAGGGUUUAGGGUUAGUAGGGUUUAGGGUUAGAAAGGGUUUAGGGUUAGGUAGGGUUUAAGGUUAGAAAGGGUUUAGGGUUAGGUAGGGUUUAAGGUUAGGCAGGGUUUAGGGUUAGAAAGGGUUUAGAAGUAGGGUUUAAGGUAAAAAAGGGUUUAGGGUUUAGGGUUAGUAGGGUUUAGGGUUAGGUAGGAUUUAGGGUUAGUAGGGUUUAGGGUUAGGUAGGGUUUAGAUAGGUAGGGUUUAGGGUUAGUUAGGGUUUAGGGUUAGAAAUGGUUUAGGAUUUAGAGUUAGUAGGAUUUAGGGCUAGAAAGAGUUUAGAGUUAGAAAGGGUUUAGGGUUAGGUAGGGUGUAGGGUUAGAAAGGGUUUAGGGUUUAGGUAGGGUUUAGGGUUAGGUAGGGUUUAGGGUUUAGGGUUAGAAAGGGUUUAGUGUUAGGUAGGGUUUAGGGUUUAGGUAAGGUUUAGGGUUAUGUAGGGUUUAGGGUUUAGGUAGGAUUUAGGGUUUAGUUAGGGUUUAGGGUUAGAAAGGGUUUAGGGUUAGGUAGGGUUUAGAGUUUAGGUAGGGUUUAAGGUUAGGUAGGGUUUAGGGUUAGAAAGGGUUUAGAGUUAGUAAUGGUUUAGGGCUAGGUAGGUUUUAGGGUUAGAAAGGGUUUAGGGCUAGGUAGGUUUUAGGGUUAGAAAGGGUUUAGAGUUAGGUAGGGUUUAGGAUUAGAAAGGAUUUAGGGUUAGAAAGGGUUGAGGGUUAAUAGGGUUUAGGGUUUAGGUAGGGUUUGGGGUUAGGUAGGGUUUAGGGUUAGAAAGGGUUUAGGGUUAGUAGGGUUUAGGGUUAGGUAGGGUUUAGGGUUAGGUAGAGUUUAGGGUUAGAAAGGGUUUAGGGUUAGUAGGGUUUAGGGUUUGGUAUGGUUUAGGGUUAGAAAGGGUUUAGGGUUAGGUAGGGUUUAGGGUUAGAAAGGGUUCAGGGUUAGUAGGGUUUAGGGUUUGGUAGGGUUUAGGGUUAGGUUUAGGUAGGGUUUAGGGUUAGGUUUUAGGGUUAGGUAGGGUUUAGGAUUAAAUAGGGUUUAGGGUUAGGUAGGGUUUACGUUUAGGGUUAGGUAGGUUUACGGUUAGAUAGGGUUAGGGUUUAGGUCGUAGGAAGGGUUUAGGGAUUAGGGUUAGCUUUAUGUAGGGUUUAGGGUUAGAUAGGGUUAAGGUCUAGGUUUAGGUAAGGUUUAGGGUUUGGUAGGAUUUAGGGUUUAGAUAGUAGAAAAGGUUUAGCGUUUAGUUUAGGUUGGGUUUAAGGUUUGGUUUAGAAUAAUGUUUAGGAUUAUAGGGUUUAUGGUUUGUUUGUUUUUUUGUUUAUGCAUUUAGUGCUGAAUUUUUUGGAUAAAAUUUUAUAUUAAUAUUAUUGAUUCAUAAUUUUUCUUAAAAUGUUAAAAAUUUUAACGUGAUUUUUAAUGUUCUUAUAACAAAUGAUGUAUUUUUUAUUAAGUUUUUUGUGAAAAUAAGUUGAAUAUAUCUU